CUUCAAGGUUUACAAUAAAAAACAAAAUCAAGCCAUAAAUGGACAAAUAACCUAAAAAUUAUUAUUUAAUAACUUGUAAUCAACCUAGGAAAAAGAAAAAUUAAAUCAAAACCCACAUGCAUUUGCAUUUAUGCUACCCAAAUUUACCCCACAUAUAUUCCAUUUAACCCGAAUUACAACAUAAAUAAUUUCUUCAUGCAAUUUCUACAGCAAACUCAUUCAAUUUUUAUGUAUACCCAUUCAAUUUCUGCACCCAACUUAAAGAACGAAUUUAAAAAGACUCAAAAGUAUUUACCUUGCAAGACCUGUGAACUGCUUGUGGUGAUGGUGAAAUGAUGAAAGAACGAUGCGAAACAAUGACAAAAGGAUGGUGAAAUAACAGCAUACGACGGAGAAACAGGAAAUUUCGAUUAAAUGAGUGAGGAUUUUGGUAGAAUGUCUAUUGAACGGCAGAGUGUUGACUGCAUGAGUGAGGGUUCGAUCUAGGGUUUCAAUAGUCUUACGAAUCUGGCCCAUCAUUCUUGAUGUUCUCAAAGGCCACUCGGUCGGCCCAUGUGGAGAAUUUUCAGAGGACUAACCAAACCAGCUUCCCAAAAAUUUGUAAUCCAAAGUUAUAGUUUUGACAAUUUUGUACUAGUGUUGCAUCUUAAUCUUGUUGACUUAUUCCUUCUUUAGUUUUUGUAAAAACUAAGAAAUCAUUUGGAUAAACAUAAAAAAAAACUAAAAUCUCUAAAGAUUGAGUUUGUUGUACAGGUACAUCCCUAACAUUUAUAAACUCUUGAAAUAAAAGUUAAAAAAUAAAUAAAAUUUCCGCCGCCGGGAUUUGAACCCGGAUUUCAUGUCAUUGAAAUUGCCUUAGUGCUACGGCGGAUUUACUACUUUCUUGUUGAAGGUUUUUUCAAUUUUAUUUUAUAUAAAAACUUUAGAAUCCACUAGCUAAGUUUAUCAUCGCAUAUGAUCAGCACUAGAUUAUCAAAUAAUCAUAAAAGUAUGAAUGGAAAAAUCCUCCACGGGUUUGGGACCCCAUGGAGCCCCAUCCCAAAUGAGAAAAAAUUUUGAAUCAUUUUUGGGGAACAUGGUGGGGGAGUGGGGGAAAAAUAAUCCCCAAAUUCUUAACUAAGAUGAGGUGAUUUUGGCAAAAAUGAUUUUUUAAAAAGUUUACCAAAUACCAAAAUUACCUUUUAGAUUUUCAUAAUCACUUUUAAGUCUCCCAAAAAUAAUCUCAAAUGAGCCCUUAGUCUCCAAUUUUAUCAUUGAUGGGAGACAAUAAAAAAAUACUCUACUGCCAUGCUUUGAACCCAAAUUUCAGCAAUUGAAAUUACGCUUUGUGUGCUACAAGAAAGUUAAAUACUUUAUUAUUAACAAUUCUAUAAUUUUAUAUUGAAUACCACAAAAAAAAACCACGAUGAAUAUAAAUAAAUGCUGAUAGGCAUUUGCGUUCAGUAACAAUAAUUGGCAAUAUUAGAAACUAUAAUAAUAAUAAUAAUAAUAAUAAUAAUAGUAAUAAUAAUAAUAAUAAUAAUAAGGGGGAUUGUCACUUUCUCACCUACAGUAAUCAACAUAUACCAUUUACCUUUCUACUGUUUUUAUAAUGGUCAAAAACUUCACUAACAGCAUAAGUUUACAAUAAUAAUAAUAAGAGUGGGACUACUGCCAUCCUUCAUUGAUCUUAUAAAUUUUAACCCACAUAUAAACCCACACAUAAGCAUUGUACACUUUUUUUUUUUUUUAAAUAACCAGAGAACUUGUUACUUUGAAGGGUUUGGGAUUAAAUAGAGUGCCAAUUUUUCAACAUUAGAGGAGUGCCACUGCUUCAUUGACCUUAUAAAAUACUUAAUUCCAAUAGUUACAGUGAAGGACAAAAUAUAAAUUUAAAUAAUCGCUAUGCUUUUCUUAAAAAUAAAAUAAAAUAAAAUAAAAUUUCUCUUUCACAACACUAUUUAUCCACGGAAACGGUAAACCCACAUGAGAUUAAGGUGAGCGCUAAUUUUUCAGAAUUAUUUAAUGGACGUUGGAGGGUGCUAAUAGUCCAAGUCUAAUAAUAACAAUAGUCUUACGAAUCUGGCCCAUCAGUCUUGAGAACACUGAGGCCACUCGGUCGGCCCAUGUGGAGAAUUUUCAGAGGACUAACCAAACCAGCUUCCCAAAAAUUUGUAAUCCAAAAUUAUGGUUUUGACAAUUUUGUACCAGUGUUGCAUCUUAAUCUUGUUGACUUAUUCCUUCUUUAGUUUUUGUAAGAACUCAUUUGGACAAACGAAAAAAAAAAAAAAAAACUAAAAUCUCUAAAGAUUGAGUUUGUUGUACAGGUAGAUCCCUAACAUUUAUAAACUCUUGAAAUAAAAGUUAAAAAACAAAUAAAAUUUCCGCCGCCGGGAUUUGAACCCGGAUUUCAUGUGAGUAAAAUUGCCUGAGUGCUACGGCGGACUUACUACUUUCUUAUUGAAGGCAUUUACAAUUUAAUUUUAUAUAAAAACUUUAGAAUCUACUAGCUAAGUUUAUCAUCACAUAUCAUCAGCACUAGAUUAUCAAAUAAUCAUAAAAGCAUAUAAAUUCAAUUACAAAAGCUGCUGGGUCAACCCAUGUAGAGAAUUUUCUGAGCCCUAACCAAACUUUGCAAGGCAGGUUUUCACGUGAUACAAGAAAAUUUGUAAUGCGUAAGUUAUAAUUUUUGUACAACUCUGGCAUCUUAUGGAAUUAUUCCUUCUUCAAUUUUUGUGAAAAAUUAUUAGAAAAAUUGGAAAAUCGACACUAAAAUCUC
rnacentral:lncRNA from 1 species